GAGAUGGGGUUGACGUGGGAAUACAGCUGGGCACACAGGAGGCCCUCAGUGGAGGCUGGUUUCUUUGGCCCAGUGCCACAUGGAGCCCGUCCACUGGCUGAGCUGGGGGCCUGAUUGUGGCCACUCAACGUCUCUGUAAAGCUCAGGGUCUGCCUUGAGAUCCUGCACUUACCACGGAGUGGCCCUGCCUUGGGGACCCAUCUCACCUCACUUCUGCCCUCCUUUCUGGUUCAUGACUCAGCCAUCCACUAACCUCCCGUGGUAGCACUGUGGCCACUCUGUAAACGACAGCACCACUGGUGUCUCAUUGGGGGCCAGUCUGGAAGAGGGAGACCACCCUAGGCAUUUCAGACAGAAGGGAUGGAAUACAGGCAUUGCUUACACAGAGGACGGACGAGCCGAGAUGCAGAAAGGCCAGGAAGAACAUUCCAACACAGACCACAACACCUAUGGACCUGGAAAACAUUGUGCUCAGUGAAAGAAGCCAGACACAGAAGGACAAUGUUGUAUGAGGGACACAUUCCAGCAAAAAGACACAAAGUGACAGAAUGGCUGCCUUUGAGUGGGGGUGAGAAGAGGUGGAUGGCAGGUACCAGAAGAGAAGGGAAUAAAUAUAUGAAGAAAUACAACCCCCUCGGGCAGUGCCUGGCACAGCAUAAAUGCCCAGGAAAAAGAGGCCCAGUUGCUUACGUUCCCGGCGACAGGGCCGGGACCAGCGCCGGCUUCCUGGUGAAGGAGGCCACCCUUUCCUCUUGAGGGGUCUGAGUAUGCAUGUCAGCACCCGGUGGGCACCCAGCACCCAGCUGACCAGGGGCCUUCACCUCUGUGGGGGUUACCGGCCUGGCCCUGAGAACUGGAUGAAAGCUGGAAUAAUUCUUUCUGUAAUAAAGCAAACGCAACCACGUUCAA
rnacentral:lncRNA from 1 species